GCAAGAAGGAGAAAGUGCAUCCGUCGAGUUCUAAUGGAGUUCUGAGAUGGAGUCUUUGGGCGCAACAUCCCCUCUCUACUUCCAACCCUGUACUAUACGAUCUGCCCUGGGUGCGCCAUACAUGUCCUUCCUCUGGACCAUGCCUUACUGUAGUCUCUUUCUGGGAAAUUGCAUUCAACCAUGUGCCCCAUAGUGGAGAGGUGGCCUCGGUACAUAUCCUGCUGAAUCUGCAGGGCCCAGCAGAGAACCUUGAACAUGUGGGCAGCUUCAUAGCUCUCAGAGAAAUGAACCAGAAUCUACACGUAGCUCUUCAAAUUACUUCACAUUUGCUGUUAAUAAAGUAUGUCUGUAUUUAAAAU